GCUAUACAUGCAGUCGAACGAACUCUGGUAUUGAUUGGUGCUUGCAUCAUGAUUUAGCAUUUGAGUGAGUGGCGAACUGGUGAGUAACACGUGGGAAACCUGCCCAGAAGCGGGGGAUAACACCUGGAAACAGAUGCUAAUACCGCAUAACAACUUGGACCGCAUGGUCCGAGUUUGAAAGAUGGCUUCGGCUAUCACUUUUGGAUGGUCCCGCGGCGUAUUAGCUAGAUGGUGGGGUAACGGCUCACCAUGGCAAUGAUACGUAGCCGACCUGAGAGGGUAAUCGGCCACAUUGGGACUGAGACACGGCCCAAACUCCUACGGGAGGCAGCAGUAGGGAAUCUUCCACAAUGGACGAAAGUCUGAUGGAGCAACGCCGCGUGAGUGAAGAAGGGUUUCGGCUCGUAAAACUCUGUUGUUAAAGAAGAACAUAUCUGAGAGUAACUGUUCAGGUAUUGACGGUAUUUAACCAGAAAGCCACGGCUAACUACGUGCCAGCAGCCGCGGUAAUACGUAGGUGGCAAGCGUUGUCCGGAUUUAUUGGGCGUAAAGCGAGCGCAGGCGGUUUUUUAAGUCUGAUGUGAAAGCCUUCGGCUCAACCGAAGAAGUGCAUCGGAAACUGGGAAACUUGAGUGCAGAAGAGGACAGUGGAACUCCAUGUGUAGCGGUGAAAUGCGUAGAUAUAUGGAAGAACACCAGUGGCGAAGGCGGCUGUCUGGUCUGUAACUGACGCUGAGGCUCGAAAGUAUGGGUAGCAAACAGGAUUAGAUACCCUGGUAGUCCAUACCGUAAACGAUGAAUGCUAAGUGUUGGAGGGUUUCCGCCCUUCAGUGCUGCAGCUAACGCAUUAAGCAUUCCGCCUGGGGAGUACGGCCGCAAGGCUGAAACUCAAAGGAAUUGACGGGGGCCCGCACAAGCGGUGGAGCAUGUGGUUUAAUUCGAAGCUACGCGAAGAACCUUACCAGGUCUUGACAUACUAUGCAAAUCUAAGAGAUUAGACGUUCCCUUCGGGGACAUGGAUACAGGUGGUGCAUGGUUG
rnacentral:rRNA from 1 species